rnacentral:rRNA from 1 species
UAGGGAAUCUUCCACAAUGGACGCAAGUCUGAUGGAGCACCGCCGCGUGAGUGAAGAAGGUUUUCGGAUCGUAAAGCUCUGUUGUUGGUGAAGAAGGAUAGAGGCAGUAACUGGUCUUUAUUUGACGGUAAUCAACCAGAAAGUCACGGCUAACUACGUGCCAGCAGCUGCGGUAAUACGUAGGUGGCAAGCGUUUUCCGGAUUUAUUGGGCGUAAAGCGAGCGCAGGCGGAAUGAUAAGUCUGAUGUGAAAGCCCACGGCUCAACCGGAGAACUGCGUCGGAAACUGUCAUUCUUGAGUGCAGAAGAGGAGAGGGGAAUUCCAUGUGUAGCGGUGGAAUGCGUAGAUAUAUGAAAGAACACCAGUGGCGAAGGCGGCUCUCUGGUCUGCAACUGACGCUGAGGCUCGAAAGCAUGGGUAGCGAACAGG